rnacentral:rRNA from 1 species
GAUGAACGCUAGCGGCAGGCCUAACACAUGCAAGUCGAGGGGUAGCAGGAUUAAGCUUGCUUAAUUGCUGACGACCGGCGCACGGGUGCGUAACGCGUAUGCAACCUACCUUAUACUGGGGUAUUGCCCGGAGAAAUUCGGACUAAUCCCCCAUAGUACUAAUGAAUCGCAUGGUUUAUUAGUUACAGCAUUGCGGUAUAAGAUGGGCAUGCGUCCUAUUAGCUAGAUGGUGAGGUAUCGGCUCACCAUGGCUACGAUAGGUAGGGGGCCUGAGAGGGUGGUCCCCCACACUGGUACUGAGACACGGACCAGAUUCCUACGGGAGGCAGCAGUGAGGAAUAUUGGUCAAUGGGCGCAAGCCUGAACCAGCCAUGCCGCGUGCAGGAAGAAUGCCCUAUGGGUUGUAAACUGCUUUUAUUUGGGAAUAAACCUCUUUACGUGUAGAGAGCUGAAGGUACCAAAUGAAUAAGCACCGGCUAACUCCGUGCCAGCAGCCGCCGUAA